rnacentral:rRNA from 1 species
UUUGAUUUCCUGGCUCAGAUUGAACGCUGGCGGCAGGCAUACCAUGCAGUCGAACGGUAGCAGGAGAAAGCUUGCUUUCUUGCUGACGAGUGGCGGACGGGUGAGUAAUGCUUGGGAAUCUGGCUUAUGGAGGGGGAUAACGACGGGAAACUGUCGCUAAUACCGCGUAUUAUCGGAAGAUGAAAGUGCGGGACUGAGAGGCCGCAUGCCAUAGGAUGAGCCCAAGUGGGAUUAGGUAGUUGGUGGGGUAAAGGCCUACCAAGCCUGCGAUCUCUAGCUGGUCUGAGAGGAUGACCAGCCACACUGGAACUGAGACACGGUCCAGACUCCUACGGGAGGCAGCAGUGGGGAAUAUUGCGCAAUGGGGGGAACCCUGACGCAGCCAUGCCGCGUGAAUGAAGAAGGCCUUAGGGUUGUAAAGUUCUUUCGGUAUUGAGGAAGGUUGAUGUGUUAAUAGCACAUCAAAUUGACGUUAAAUACAGAAGAAGCACCGGCUAACUCCGUGCCAGCAGCCGCGGUAAUACGGAGGGUGCGAGCGUUAAUCGGAAUAACUGGGCGUAAAGGGCACGCAGGCGGUUAUUUAAGUGAGGUGUGAAAGCCCUGGGCUUAACCUAGGAAUUGCAUUUCAGACUGGGUAACUAGAGUACUUUAGGGAGGGGUAGAAUUCCACGUGUAGCGGUGAAAUGCGUAGAGAUGUGGAGGAAUACCGAAGGCGAAGGCAGCCCCUUGGGAAUGUACUACGCUCCAUGUGCGAAAGCGUGGGGAGCAAACAGGAUUAGAUACCUGGGUUAGU